rnacentral:rRNA from 2 species
GGGUUGUGAGGUUAAGCGACUAAGCGUACACGGUGGAUGCCCUGGCAGUCAGAGGCGAUGAAGGACGUGCUAAUCUGCGAUAAGCGUCGGUAAGGUGAUAUGAACCGUUAUAACCGGCGAUUUCCGAAUGGGGAAACCCAGUGUGUUUCGACACACUAUCAUUAACUGAAUCCAUAGGUUAAUGAGGCGAACCGGGGGAACUGAAACAUCUAAGUACCCCGAGGAAAAGAAAUCAACCGAGAUUCCCCCAGUAGCGGCGAGCGAACGGGGAGCAGCCCAGAGCCUGAAUCAGUGUGUGUGUUAGUGGAAGCGUCUGGAAAGGCGCGCGAUACAGGGUGACAGCCCCGUACACAAAAAUGCACAUGCUGUGAGCUCGAUGAGUAGGGCGGGACACGUGGUAUCCUGUCUGAAUAUGGGGGGACCAUCCUCCAAGGCUAAAUACUCCUGACUGACCGAUAGUGAACCAGUACCGUGAGGGAAAGGCGAAAAGAACCCCGGCGAGGGGAGUGAAAAAGAACCUGAAACCGUGUACGUACAAGCAGUGGGAGCACGCUUCGGCGUGUGACUGCGUACCUUUUGUAUAAUGGGUCAGCGACUUAUAUUCUGUAGCAAGGUUAACCGAAUAGGGGAGCCGAAGGGAAACCGAGUCUUAACUGGGCGUUAAGUUGCAGGGUAUAGACCCGAAACCCGGUGAUCUAGCCAUGGGCAGGUUGAAGGUUGGGUAACACUAACUGGAGGACCGAACCGACUAAUGUUGAAAAAUUAGCGGAUGACUUGUGGCUGGGGGUGAAAGGCCAAUCAAACCGGGAGAUAGCUGGUUCUCCCCGAAAGCUAUUUAGGUAGCGCCUCGUGAAUUCAUCUCCGGGGGUAGAGCACUGUUUCGGCAAGGGGGUCAUCCCGACUUACCAACCCGAUGCAAACUGCGAAUACCGGAGAAUGUUAUCACGGGAGACACACGGCGGGUGCUAACGUCCGUCGUGAAGAGGGAAACAACCCAGACCGCCAGCUAAGGUCCCAAAGUCAUGGUUAAGUGGGAAACGAUGUGGGAAGGCCCAGACAGCCAGGAUGUUGGCUUAGAAGCAGCCAUCAUUUAAAGAAAGCGUAAUAGCUCACUGGUCGAGUCGGCCUGCGCGGAAGAUGUAACGGGGCUAAACCAUGCACCGAAGCUGCGGCAGCGACACUGUGUGUUGUUGGGUAGGGGAGCGUUCUGUAAGCCUGUGAAGGUGUACUGUGAGGUAUGCUGGAGGUAUCAGAAGUGCGAAUGCUGACAUAAGUAACGAUAAAGCGGGUGAAAAGCCCGCUCGCCGGAAGACCAAGGGUUCCUGUCCAACGUUAAUCGGGGCAGGGUGAGUCGACCCCUAAGGCGAGGCCGAAAGGCGUAGUCGAUGGGAAACAGGUUAAUAUUCCUGUACUUGGUGUUACUGCGAAGGGGGGACGGAGAAGGCUAUGUUGGCCGGGCGACGGUUGUCCCGGUUUAAGCGUGUAGGCUGGUUUUCCAGGCAAAUCCGGAAAAUCAAGGCUGAGGCGUGAUGACGAGGUACUACGGUGCUGAAGCAACAAAUGCCCUGCUUCCAGGAAAAGCCUCUAAGCAUCAGGUAACAUCAAAUCGUACCCCAAACCGACACAGGUGGUCAGGUAGAGAAUACCAAGGCGCUUGAGAGAACUCGGGUGAAGGAACUAGGCAAAAUGGUGCCGUAACUUCGGGAGAAGGCACGCUGAUACGUAGGUGAAGUCCCUCGCGGAUGGAGCUGAAAUCAGUCGAAGAUACCAGCUGGCUGCAACUGUUUAUUAAAAACACAGCACUGUGCAAACACGAAAGUGGACGUAUACGGUGUGACGCCUGCCCGGUGCCGGAAGGUUAAUUGAUGGGGUUAGCGCAAGCGAAGCUCUUGAUCGAAGCCCCGGUAAACGGCGGCCGUAACUAUAACGGUCCUAAGGUAGCGAAAUUCCUUGUCGGGUAAGUUCCGACCUGCACGAAUGGCGUAAUGAUGGCCAGGCUGUCUCCACCCGAGACUCAGUGAAAUUGAACUCGCUGUGAAGAUGCAGUGUACCCGCGGCAAGACGGAAAGACCCCGUGAACCUUUACUAUAGCUUGACACUGAACAUUGAGCCUUGAUGUGUAGGAUAGGUGGGAGGCUUUGAAGUGUGGACGCCAGUCUGCAUGGAGCCGACCUUGAAAUACCACCCUUUAAUGUUUGAUGUUCUAACGUUGACCCGUAAUCCGGGUUGCGGACAGUGUCUGGUGGGUAGUUUGACUGGGGCGGUCUCCUCCUAAAGAGUAACGGAGGAGCACGAAGGUUGGCUAAUCCUGGUCGGACAUCAGGAGGUUAGUGCAAUGGCAUAAGCCAGCUUGACUGCGAGCGUGACGGCGCGAGCAGGUGCGAAAGCAGGUCAUAGUGAUCCGGUGGUUCUGAAUGGAAGGGCCAUCGCUCAACGGAUAAAAGGUACUCCGGGGAUAACAGGCUGAUACCGCCCAAGAGUUCAUAUCGACGGCGGUGUUUGGCACCUCGAUGUCGGCUCAUCACAUCCUGGGGCUGAAGUAGGUCCCAAGGGUAUGGCUGUUCGCCAUUUAAAGUGGUACGCGAGCUGGGUUUAGAACGUCGUGAGACAGUUCGGUCCCUAUCUGCCGUGGGCGCUGGAGAAUUGAGGGGGGCUGCUCCUAGUACGAGAGGACCGGAGUGGACGCAUCACUGGUGUUCGGGUUGUCAUGCCAAUGGCACUGCCCGGUAGCUAAAUGCGGAAGAGAUAAGUGCUGAAAGCAUCUAAGCACGAAACUUGCCCCGAGAUGAGUUCUCCCUGACUCCUUGAGAGUCCUGAAGGAACGUUGAAGACGACGACGUUGAUAGGCCGGGUGUGUAAGCGCAGCGAUGCGUUGAGCUAACCGGUACUAAUGAACCGUGAGGCUUAACCUUACAACGCCGAAGCUGUU